AUACCACCAUCCCCUUGUCAUCUUUUAUUGCAAAUUGUGAUUCGAAUUCCUCUACCACAGUGGUAGAAAUCUGCUAUAAAAAGAGUAUGUUUGGGAGGAGAUAGUACUCAAGAGUCCACCAAGUUUUACAAGCUUUCACUUAAAUUAUAUUCCAUUUGUGUUAAGAGUCUCCGGAAAAAUGGCUUCAGUGAAGUCUGAAAAACCUGCUGGCACACAACUGUUUGGGCAGGUCAAGAAGGAGCCUGCCAAGUCUACUGAUAAUGCAGCCAAAGCUCCAGCAUCCAAGUCGGGUGCAAAGAAGGCCGCACAAAAGCCUCAGGAACCUAAGAAGAAGGGAAAAGGAGGCAAAUCAGCAUCAAAGCACUAAUCAAAAGUGCUCAAUGCUAUGAUGUCUGACAAAAGCAACUACAAGAAGAUCAAAGUUAAAUUUGUGUAAUGCUCUUUAUGGUUUGGUUAAUUUGUGUAACCAUAGGAAGUUGAUAUCUAUGUAAGUCAGCUAGUUAGGAUUGGCCUAAUGUAAUAACAACGAUCUUCUUGGCAUAUGUACUUUUGUUUGUAAACAAUGCUGCUUUUUUUAAAUAACAUGAUAUAUAGUUUGAUCAA